AAAAUUCAUAAGACUUAGCUACGAUGCUGGAAGAAAUACAAAUAAUGUCCAUUCCAAUUUUAAGGCUUGUCCAGUAAACAUCUGAACCUUUUUGUGAACUUUUUGUGGGGUAUCUCUCAAAUGUUUAUUUGUUUUUUGUAACAAAAUAACAUUCAUACGUUAAAUUGGGAGAUAAUUUGAAGUAAAGACAAGCGAACGAUCCCAAAUAGUACCUAUUUCUGUGAAGAAUCAAAAGUCCACUUCAAGAUGUGUUAUCCUUGCUAUUCGUGCUGUGGAUCUUGCGGACCCUGCGGAUCUUGCUGUUCACCAUGUUACGGACCUUGUGGCGGCUGUGGACCAUUUUGUGGUCCCUGUGGUGGAUGCUAUGGGGGUUGCGGACCGUACUGCGGGGGAUGUGGACCUUGCUGUUAAUAUCUUCAGAACGAAAUCUAGGUAUCCCACAUUUAGUAUUACAAAGAAAAAAAUCCCAAUGUAAAUUAAUACUUGUAUAAUUAAAUGGAAUAUUAACUCA